AUCUAAGUAGCUUAUGAUAUAGAGUAUAGUUUUGAAGCAGCUAGGGAAAUUUAUUUAAUUCUUAGAUA
rnacentral:tRNA from 1 species